GACGAACGCUGGCGGCGUGCCUAAUACAUGCAAGUAGAACGCACAGUUUAUACCGUAGCUUGAUACACCAUAGACUGUGAGUUGCGAACGGGUGAGUAACGCGUAGGUAACCUGCCUGGUAGCGGGGGAUAACUAUUGGAAACGAUAGCUAAUACCGCAUAAUAUUAAUUAUUGCAUGAUAAUUAAUUGAAAGGUGCAAUUGCACCACUACCAGAUGGACCUGCGUUGUAUUAGCUAGUAGGGGAGGUAACGGCUCACCUAGGCGACGAUACAUAGCCGACCUGAGAGGGUGGUCGGCCACACUGGGACUGAGACACGGCCCAGACGACUACGGGAGGCAGCAGUAGGGAAUCUUCGGCAAUGGACGAAAGUCUGACCGAGCAACGCCGCGUGAGUGAAGAAGGUUUUCGGAUCGUGAAGCUCGGUUGUAAGAGAAGAACGGGUGUGAGAGUGGAAAGUUCACACUGUGACGGUAUCUUAACAGAAAGGGACGGCUAACUACGUG
rnacentral:rRNA from 1 species